UUCUACUCAUAUCUCUCUGUUGAGCCAAAUUGAAGUACUGUGUUUGGAAUUGACAAGAAUAAGCAACUGAACAGCUCAUGCUAGUUAUUGCUGUUUGAAGAGAGAGAGUCCAGGAGAGAGUAGGAUAGCUUAAAAAAGAAGAAGAAGAAGAAGAUGACGACAACAAAGAAGUUCCUUGGGUUCCCAAGAUUAUUUUGUUCAGAGAUGUGUAUAUACAUGUGACCAGAGCAAAGCGUGCUGAGCAGUCAUAAUCUCACUAAGCUGUAAAAGAAGGAUUUAAAAUUCAUGGAAGUCUACUGUUAUUGCAAAGACCAGAAAUUUUGUGGAGGU